rnacentral:rRNA from 1 species
UACGUAGGGGGCAAGCGUUGUCCGGAAUCAUUGGGCGUAAAGCGCGCGUAGGCGGCCCGGUAAGUCCGUUGUGAAAGUCAAAGGCUCAACCUUUGAACGCCGAUGGAUACUGCCGGGCUAGAGUCCGGAAGAGGCGAGUGGAAUUCCUGGUGUAGCGGUGGGAUGCGCAGAUAUCAGGAGGAACACCAAUAGCGAAGGCAGCUCGCUGGGACGGUACUGACGCUGAGGCGCGAAAGCGUGGGGAGCGAACAGG